rnacentral:lncRNA from 12 species
GCAGGGAGCCUGUUUCUCCCUCGGCCUAGGUUUCAACCUCUCUCUCUAUCUCGGGGGGACUUUCAAAAAUAAAUAAGGUUUUAAAAAAAAAAAUUAAAAAAAAAAAAAAAUUAAAAUUCACCCCCGGACGUUUUUAAGAACAUCCCCCCCCCCCCCCCAAAAAAAAGUACAGGCACAUCCAGGGUAACAUCACCAUCUCAAAUUUUUUAAUAGAAUAUUACUGUCACAUCUUUCAACAGGUAAUUUUCAUUAAACUGUAUUUUUAAAAAAUUACACUUCUUACUCCCACCUGCACACGACUACUGGGUUUUUUUGAAGCUAAAGCUAAGUUCACCCUACCGAUUAACAGGUCUUGAGAAACACUAAGGAAAAAACAAAGUCGUGCAACCUAAAUAACUCCCACAGUUAAUUUCUACAGGGUUGAAUUUGCGCGGCCUCCAGAAGAUCUCGUGGAAAAUAGGCUGUGGGGCUUUCCUUUCUAACUCCUGAGCCCAUCACAAGCUUGUUCUAAAUAAAUCAUUGCAGGAAUCCGCUGAAAGUUAGCACCGUUCUAGCUCUGCUCCUGAUUUUUCAUUAGGGCUAAAAGGGGGAGUCUUGUUAAGUAACUAAAUAAAUUAGGACAGAAGGGGGAAUCUUGUUAAAGAAGAAGGAAGGACUAAAAAGGGGAUUUUGUAAAAUAAAUAAGGACUAAAAGAGGGAUUUUGUAAAAUAAAUAAAUGAAAGUAAAAUAAAAUAAUAGAGGAUUUAUAACAAUAAAGGAGGAUUUUAUAAUAAAGGAGAACUUUUAAUAAUAAAGGAUUUUAUAAUUAAUAAAGAAUUUUAUAAUAAUGAUGGAGAAUUUUAUAAUAAUAGUAAUAAAGGAGGAUUUAUAAUAAUUAACAAAGGAGGAUUUUAUGAUAAUAAAAAAUCUUAAAAAGGAUGUUAUAAUAAUAAAGGGGGGUUUAUAAUAAUAAAGGAGGAUUUUAUAAUAAAAAUUUUAAAAAGAAAAAAAAUUUUAAAAAGGAUGUUAUAAUAAAGAACUUUAUAAUAAUAAUAAAGGAAGAUUUGAUAAUAAUACAAGGAGGAUUUUAUAAUAACAAAGGAUUUAGCAAUAAUAAUCAUAAAGGACUUAAUGAUGCUGAUGCUAAUACUAACACUAACACUAACAGCACCGCCACGGAAGCCCCGACAAGGCCGCCUCUGCGGUCGUCCCUGGAUCCCGGCACCGCCCUCUAGCGUCCCG